GACGAACGCUGGCGGCGUGCUUAACACAUGCAAGUCGAACGGAAAGGCCUGCUUUCCCUUGUGGAUUGCGGGUACUCGCGUGGCGAACGGGUGAGUAACACGUGAGUGAUCUGCCCCCAACUUGGGUAUAAGCCUGGGAAACUGGGUCUAAUUCCCGAUAGGACUGCAGGGUGGUGCCUGUGGUGGAAAACGAUUUUCUAGUGGUUGGGGAUGAGCUCGCGGCCUAUCAGCUUGUUGGUGGGGUAAUGGCCUACCAAGGCGGCGACGGGUAGGCGGCCUGAGAGGGUGGACGGGCACAUUGGGACUGAGAUACGGCCCAGACUCCUACGGGAGGCAGCAGUGGGGAAUAUGGCACAAGGGGCGGAAGCCUGAUGCAGCGACGCCGCGUGGGGGAUGACGGCCGUCGGGUUGUAAACUCCUUUCGACCGCGAGGAAGCCACCUGGUUGGAAGGGUGGUGACGGUAGUGGUAGAAGAAGCACCGGCUAACUACGUG
rnacentral:rRNA from 1 species